rnacentral:rRNA from 1 species
AGCCCGCUCAGAAACUACAAAUGAAUUGACGGGGCCCGCACAAGCGGUGGAGCAUGUGGUUUAAUUCGAUGAUACGCGAGGAACCUUACCUGGGCUCAAAUGUAUGUUGACGUAUUCUGAAAGGGAUACUUCUUCGGACAAUAUACAAGGUGCUGCAUGGUUGUCGUCAGCUCGUGCCGUGAGGUGUCGGGUUAAGUCCCAUAACGAGCGCAACCCUAUCAUUAGUUGCCAUCAGGUCAAGCUGGGGACUCUAAUGAAACUGCCUACGCAAGUAGUGAGGAAGGUGGGGAUGACGUCAAAUCAGCACGGCCCUUACGUCCAGGGCUACACACGUGCUACAAUGGCCGGUACAAAGGGCAGCUACCUGGUGACAGGAUGCUAAUCUCAAAAGCCGGUCUCAGUUCGGAUCGGAGUCUGCAACCCGACUCCGUGAAGUUGGAAUCGCUAGUAAUCGCGCAUCAGCCAUGGCGCGGUGAAUACGUUCCCGGGCCUU